UUUGAGACAGCAGACAAUGCACAUGUUUUUCUGAUACAAAACGGUUCUCUUCUUUAUGUUUAAUGGUUAUUACAUUAUCAAAAUGGAAAAGCACUUCACUCAUAGCAAAAGGUUGUUUGUUUGGAACUGGUGGAUGUUACUAAAAAAAGCCAUUGAAGAAAACUCCAUCAGUGUAUGUUGAUUAUUAUGUCAGGAAACAGUGCCUGUGGAGAUCUCGAUUCUUUUUUCACCCAGAAUCAACUUAUUCUUCAUUUUUACCAUUUGGAGAUCAAGUGAACAAAACCCCAACUCCUAAACCGAUUUUUUCUGCAUACGGACAUUUAAUGAGUCGACUCAACAUUUCACAUCGAAAGUCAAUUUCACUGCUCCAGUCAAUCUGGAAUGGAUAGAUAAGUCUACAUGGAAGUAGGCAAGGCUGCUGAAGAAAAUGCUAGCCAGUGAGAAAAAUGUCAAUGUUGCUGUCAAAAGAUUGAGGAUUGUCAACACUUAUGAAUUCCAAGUUAUAAAAGAAAAAAAAACAAACAAUGAAUCUUCUCUAUAGAAACCUAUGAUGUGAGCAACAAACUCUGAAAUCUUUGGAUUAUGACUGACAUGGGAGCAAAUACUGGUUCAGUACAAGGCACAUAUUCAUCAAACUGACAGCUAGGAAGAAAUUGGCAGUGAUAGGAAACUAUUGCCAUGGAGGACUGUUAAGAUAUAGUACUACUUGAGCUGCUUAUCAACUUAAAUAUCUGCUUGCAGUUUUUGCCAAGACAAAAUUUGAAAAGACCCUUUGUCAUGAAAAAAAUACGACCAGAAGCAAGAAAUGUUGAAACAGAUUCCUCGUACGAUACACCACAAAUGAGCGCCAGCCGAUUAUUGGAAACCAUCGUGAUCGUGGUGUCAGCUAUGGCGGAGGAAUUGAUCUCUUUCUACAUUCGGCCGUCGUAAGUUCUUCAAAGAACUAAAUAAUUGAUUCUAAGAUGGCUGCUGCUCAGUCUAGCAACAAAAGUUACCCAGUCCUGGUGAAAGGCUGGCAAUCUAACCGGAAGACGGCAACAAGAAGUAGUCAUCGAGAUGAACAGAAACAAAUGCAGCUGGGUGAAAUAAGAACGGCGAAGACGGAGACUGUGCCGCUACCCGCUGUAUCUUACAAGAAUUGGCAAAGUUCGGGUCGCGCUGGAAGAAUUACGGAAUCAUCUCCAACUCGUCUAUGGAUUUCUGAAGGAGCUCUGCUAUGACCCAUGUUCGUUCUGAGGUUCAUUCAUGGGUGCCCUCUUUAACGUGGUCGAAACAACACAGGAUAUUUCAACUUGCGAUUUCAGUGUCUGAAAUUUGAACUGAAAGACGGCCAUCCGUUUCUUGCGCACACGGUUGACAGACAGUUAGUUGACAAUUUAUUCAACGUUUACUAUUUCGAAAGGUACGAAAGCCUACAGUGUUAGUUCAAAAUCAUUCUAUUCUACUGAAUGUGCCAUCACAGAAAUACAGGAUUCAUCUCUCAUUCCAUCUUCUAGAGAACCUAGGAUAACUGAUCGGUGGUUUCAUGUGUAAAUUCAAUUGUCAUGUCACCAAAAUCGUCCAACAUCGUCAAUCUGCAGAAGUGACCAUGUUACCAACUCAUAUUUUUAAUUUUUUGUCCCACUCCCAGUGAGUCGUCUGACCACGUGUUCUGAAAGUGCUGUCCUUAUGCAGAAAUGUCGUCUCGUACUAGAAAACAGAAACUUGAAUGGAAUGUGCAUCAUAUCUUGCCGAGUUGGUGUCAGAAGGGAUACGAUUUCUACUGCGGGGUCUGAAAGCUUACAACAUAUACUUGACAAUUCCAUGUGUUGUGGAGUGCUCUACAUUUUCUGAAGAUUUUUGCUGCUUCUUGGGAUGUUUUGUCACAUGGACAAGUACUUUUACUUUGAAGAGGAAAUGUGCAAGGGCCAUGCAGCUUACUGUCCACUAUUUUGUUCAUAAUAAUUGUUUUCUACUGAAUUCCAAAGCUUAAACAAUCUUUUUCCCUAACUUUUGAAAGGUAGAUUAAUUCAAGCUGUUGAAUGAUGGUGUUUGCUGCUCAAUGCGAAGAUGGUGAAAUGGUGAGAUGGUGAAUCUACAUUCACUUUGCAUACGGUCUACACCUUCUUUGGACAUGGGCAUGGCUUGCUUGUCUUUCCUUCCGCGACGUUGUUGGAUAACGUUCACCUCAGUCAUUGUGAGUUACUUUCUUACCUGGUAACAUUAACAGUACCUUUAAUUUAUUUUUGGCAAUUCCAUCUGAUCAUUCGACCUGCCUUCCCAAAAUGUCGUCUCUUGCUGUAUGUUGCAUGUUUCGUCACAAGAGUUAUUUUCUCGCCAUUCGUUGAAGCUGAAUCGAUAGUGAACCAAUUUAAAGCAACAGGUGAUUUCCUUUUCUCCACAGUGUGGUCGCUGCCGUGCCAUGAAGACGGUCUUUGUGAGGGUCUACUAUGUUGCAAUGUGUUGAAAGGAGGGAAUCUGUUAAGUUUAGUAAUGCACCUGGCUUUUGCAGACAUCCACUCGAGUUAACAAUUGGAAAAGUAUCUAUCCAUCUGUGUGUAUAGAUAUAGUACUUACCUAAUAAUCUAACCACUUUGGCUUCAACUGCAGUCCAUUUGGCUGAAAUGUUGUCCAUUGUUAUUUGUGUGGGUUGAUUGUGAGAGAUUCCUUUCCUUAUCAGCUGAAGAGCUUGAGGAUAUCGUAAAGGCUGAACUAAAUUGCUGUCAUGCAGGUGAUUUUGUUGCAGACAGCUGGUGAAAGCGAGGGCAAGUCAAGUUUAGCUGAAGCUUCUGGAUACUGUCUACAUUGCUGGUGUCAUCCUGAAGAGGGGUAGUGUUACUUGAAAUGUAACAGCAACAAAGACAUCUUGAAAAGGUAGUUUGAUUGUGAUUAUGGCCUGUAAUUAAGGAAGUUUCGUGAAGUGUGAUCAAAAUAUUGUAAUGUGUGUAGAGUUUUGUGAAAACAUAGUCACCUACUUGAUCAAUCUGAGCUGACUUGACUUGGUGACAGUGUUAAAUUAAAUAUCAAUCUGCUGCAUGUAUUUCAUGAAGCCGGCGUUUUCCAGAAAUGUUGCAGGGAGACUUGGAGCAUAGAUGCAAGAAAACUUCUGAAAUGGAGUUGGUGGAAAUGUAAAGUGGUUUUGCUGUCUGGUUCCUGUUCAAGCUGUUAUUCUGCAUCUGCUGAAAUCCUUGAAGAAGCUGAUGCUGAUAUUAUCCUACAGUUUGUUUUCCAGUGCAAUUUUGGUUGUCAACAUCUUUUGUUGUUUUCAUCUGUGUAGUGUAUAAUUCAAACUAUUUGAUAUUUUGGUUUUCAAUGUGGUAUGUUGCGGCUUAUGUUGGUGAAGAUCUUUGUGCGGUUGUCUUCGUUGUCUUUAAGCAAUGUUUCAAUUAUUUACUUCAUACUUGAAACCUAAACCUGAAAUCACUUGUUUAAUUUUGUAAACUAAAAUGCUGGUUCAUCAAAUCAUGAAUUAAACUCGUUAAAUAUACAAUUAUACGUUA